rnacentral:ribozyme from 1 species
ACAUGCCCAUUACUGGAUUGCUAUAUAUGGAUACUCAACCUUUGGCGGAAUCUAGCCAUUUUACAUUGCCCACGGAAUAUCAAUAAUCAACAAUAUAA